UAAACAUCUCUCGGUGCUACUCUGUUGUUGUUGUUCCGUCAUUUAACUGAUUGGCGAGGAAAAAUCUUAAAAGUUGAUCUGUAAUCCCUUCGCUAUUCAAGGAACGAUUCAAUUAUAGUUAUCCCAUUGGAUCAGUUUCAGUUUAAUGUUUUCAGUAAACCAUCAGAAGUUGCUAUUAAAAAAUAUCAGAGAACCAUCAUCGAACGGGCCAACAUUUCACGCGGAAGUCAUUUUGCGAACCGGACGGACGACAAGCAGCAGAAAUCUUCUGUCCUCGAUAUGCAAAACACAUUCCACAAAAUUGUGCAAUCGAGUUGUUUGAGCAUGGUUGUCUACACCGUUUCCCGUUCUUUCUCGAAUGGAGUCGACAAAUCGCGGGUAACGUAUACGAGUCAUCCAGAAAACCGAGCCAGCAUUUCACGGGGUAGAAAAUACGAAUAAAAUUAAUUUGAAGGGGAAAAAGAAGGUAAAAGCACUGACACGAAACAACAAGACGAUAAGAGGAAGGCAACUGACUGAAAUAUGUUUAUGAUGGCGAUCGCGAUGAUUAAAUUCAUGAAAUAAACGACCGUACAGAAGAAAACAGCAAAGCAAACGGCGCAAAAUCGCGCGUAUGCUAAACUAAACCAGCUCAGGCCAAGUGCGGGUGUUCGAGCUAUUUGUUAUUUUAACUUAAGCGAAUAAAAUGAAAAAAAGUAAAAACUUAUGAGACCAUCACACUCGGAUGAUGUUGAUGAUGAUGGCAUCGAAUGCCGGUUCCUGUCCGCCUCCUUCUCAAGCAGUUACUUUCUUCUGCCCAGCCAGAAGUAAGUCGCGGGAGGGGGCGUAAAAUUCCAUCACACCGCGCAAUAGAACCAUCGGAAUAUUUGAGCUUACUCACCUUCCACACGGAUUGCCCUGUUCGGGAGACUUGUUUUCGUUCGAACCCGGCAAGCGACGAACUUCAUCCGCGGUAACUGAAAAACCUACCUUCAUAUGACUGGGUAGGUACAAAUGAGCGAGGGUAAGCAAACAGCAGGGUAUGGCCACUAACCGCCCGGCCCGUAUAGAAAAUUUAAAUUUAGGUCACCGAGAACUUGCUUUUUUAUUGCUUCAUUCUUUGGAUGACUGUUUAUACGACUCAAAAACAAAACGUGCAAGAGUUCCCCUUCUUCCAUUGACGUAGGAAGGUGGUAGCAAGGCUGGCAGGACUUUCGCGGACCGAAUUAUAUCUGCUUUGAAAUUUUAAUAUGGACUUUUUAACGCCGCUCAGCAUAUCGUAUUUCGGAGAUUUGGCGAGUCAUCAUGGCAGCAUCAAAAAGAAUGAUUGAACAUAACCAGUGGCACUUUGAUGGCAGGAAAAAUGCAGAAAAUGACAUCAGCGAAAUUGAAUUAUUAUGAUUCGCUUUAAUCAUCAUAAACGCCAACGUCAUCAUCAUCAUCAUCGGCCCGCACUCUCUUCAUCUGCGUGUAUCGUCAAGUGAUUCAAGCGCAAGCACAAGCGACGAACCCGAAGGAAGAAAAAUAUCCAAGCAGAAACAAAAGAAAUGAAAACGCGAGCGUUCUGAGUGCGUGUUGCUCAGCUUAAACUAAGCAAGUGUCCAUCGAAUGAUCGCAUUGGAACAGAGAUAAACUUAAGUAAAGUUGUACUAAGAGCUAGCGUAUCUCUACGACCAAAUUAUAUAGUUAGCCCGAAGAAGAACAAACAAGACGAAAAGCGCAACUGGCUAGAGGAAGAGUGUGUGUAGGUACGUGUGAGUGUCUGUUGUCUAAGGUUGACUGACUCAAUGAUAAGCCGGGGAAGAACGAACUCAUGAAGAUUCCGGUGAAGGGAAGUUGCACUCUGUUCCAUCACACAACAACAACAUCAACAGCAGCAGCAGCAC